AAACUUCUCCAGUUAUAUAGUGUGCUGGGUUGACCCUGGCUGGACGCCAGGUGCCCAUCAAAGCCGUUCUAUCAGUCCCCCUCCUUACCUGGACAGGGGAAAGAAAA